rnacentral:rRNA from 1 species
GGGGGAAAGGAACUUCGCAUGGACGAAGUCUGACGGAGCAACGCCGCGUGAGUGAUGAAGGUUUUCGGAUCGUAAAGCUCUGUUGUUAGGGAAGAACAAGUGCAAGAGUAACUGCUUGCACCUUGACGGUACCUAACCAGAAAGCCACGGCUAACUACGUGCCAGCAGCCGCGGUAAUACGUAGGUGGCAAGCGUUGUCCGGAAUUAUUGGGCGUAAAGGGCUCGCAGGCGGUUUCUUAAGUCUGAUGUGAAAGCCCCCGGCUCAACCGGGGAGGGUCAUUGGAAACUGGGAAACUUGAGUGCAGAAGAGGAGAGUGGAAUUCCACGUGUAGCGGUGAAAUGCGUAGAGAUGUGGAGGAACACCAGUGGCGAAGGCGACUCUCUGGUCUGUAACUGACGCUGAGGAGCGAAAGCGUGGGGAGCGAACAGGAUUAGAUACCCUGGUAGUCCACGCCGUAAACGAUGAGUGCUAAGUGUUAGGGGGUUUCCGCCCCUUAGUGCUGCAGCUAACGCAUUAAGCACUCCGCCUGGGGAGUACGGUCGCAAGACUGAAACUCAAAGGAAUUGACGGGGGCCCGCACAAGCGGUGGAGCAUGUGGUUUAAUUCGAAGCAACGCGAAGAACCUUAC